rnacentral:rRNA from 1 species
GACGAACGCCGGCGGCGUGCUUAACACAUGCAAGUCGAGCGGUAAGGCCCUUUCGGGGGUACACGAGCGGCGAACGGGUGAGUAACACGUGGGUGACCUGCCCUCAGCUCUGGGAUAAGCCUGGGAAACCGGGUCUAAUACUGGAUAUGACUCCAUGACGCAUGUUGUGGGGUGAAAGCCUUGUGCGGCUGAGGAUGGGCCCGNGGCCUAUCAGCUUGUUGGUGGGGUGAUGGCCUACCAAGGCGACGACGGGUAGCCGGCCUGAGAGGCGACCGGCCACACUGGGACUGAGACACGGCCCAGACUCCUACGGGAGGCAGCAGUGGGGAAUCUUGCGCAAUGGGCGAAAGCCUGACGCAGCGAC